UACAGAGGUCCCAAGCGUUGUUCGGAUUCACUGGGCGUAAAGGGUGCGUAGGCGGUUUGAUAAGUCUGAUGUGAAAUCCCGCAGCUUAACUGCGGAACUGCAUUGGAAACUGUUUGACUAGAGGAGUGGAGGGGAGACUGGAAUACUUGGUGUAGCAGUGAAAUGCGUAGAUAUCAAGUGGAACACCAGUGGCGAAGGCGAGUCUCUGGACAUUUCCUGACGCUGAGGCACGAAAGCCAGGGGAGCAAACGGG
rnacentral:rRNA from 1 species